AGAGUUUGAUCCUGGCUCAGAAUGAACGCUAUAGUUCUACGUUACACAUGCGAGUUGAACAAAAUACAAUAUAGUUUGAAAGUAGCGAACGGGUGAAUAAUGUAGUUGAAAACUAUCUGAUAAUUCGGGACAAUCACCAGGAGUGUGACCAAUACCGAAUAAAAAAUAAAGAUUGAUCGUUAUCAGAAGUGCAACUAUCAGAUUAAGUUGAGAAGUUGGUGAGGUAAUGGCUUACCAAUCUUAUGAUCUGUAGCUGGAUUGGGAGAUCGAUCAGCCACAUUUGAACUGAGAUAAGGUCAAAUCUCCAGCAUUGGAGGCAGCAGUGGGGAAUCUUGGGCAAUGGGCGAAAGCCUGACCCAGUGAGAAUUGGAGCGUGAUGAAGGCAUAAUGUUUGUAAAGCGCAAAGGGCCUUAUGAAAUGAUGCCAUAAUAAGGAAUCAAGUACUGACUAAGUUCGUGCCAGCAGUCGCGGUAAUACGAACAGUGCAAGCGUUAUUCGGAUUUAUUGGGUGUAAAGGGUAUGUAGGUGGCCGUUUAAAAAAAGUGCGAAAUGCUAGGGUUAUAACCUUAGAAUUGUUCUUUUAGAUUACUCGGCUUUGAGUUAAGGAGAGGUUAGAAGAAAUUCUAGUGUAGGUCUUAAAUUCUUCAAUAUUAGAAUGAAUACCAAUGGCGAAAGCAUCUUUCUGGCCUUAACUGACGUUGAUAUACGGAAGCUUGGGGAGCAAACGGGAUUAGAGACCCCGGUAGUCCAAGCCGUCAACGAUGACCAUUAAAAUUUGGGACUUAAGUGUUUUAGAUAUUACAGCUAACGCGUUAAAUGGUCCACCUGGGGUAUACGAUCGCAAGGUUGAAACUCAAAUGAAUUGACGG
rnacentral:rRNA from 1 species